CUUCAUUUUGACAGUUUGCAGUUUAAAGAUAGAGACAAGACCUAACAGAUCAAAAUCAUCAAAUCUUAAAUGGUUGUUUGAACAGGCAAUUAACCUAGACGCCUGGAGUUAAAGGAAUACUACAAAGGCUGUAUUUCACUUUGGAACAAUCCUUUCAGAAAUGAAGUCCCAGUGAUAUUGAUGAUGAACUAAGGAUGCAGCCAACUGAAACGACGAGGCCGGCUCAAUUUGUGGACAUUGGAUUUCAACGAGCGCCACGCAGUAUUUCCUAAAGUCUGCAGCUAGCAGUCCUGUAAGACAUGACUUUACUGGGCAAUAUCUCCACAUUUCCGAGAUCAUAAUUUUAUUCUGGCAAUUUUCUUGGGGAGAAAAAAGAACACAGAUGAACCAUAUCCAUAUCAAGAAAAUGCUGAGACUGCACAGCCCACACCCCAAUGCUCAAUGCAUCAACCGCCACCUGGAAGGUUGAAGAAAAGGAGCUGAUAUGAACCUUGAUUUCAAUGUCUCAAAAAAAAAAAAAAAAUAAAA